UUGUUGUGACGAGACAAAGAACCGAGGAACAUACACUCGGCGUGACAUCUAUGGUGCUGUGACUCGGAUUUAACCUGGCUGAAACAACCUCCGCGCGGAAGAGGCCAAGCACAGCAGGAGCCCAAUUCAGCGAAGCUCCCGCGCUAGAAGCAGAAGGCGAAGAAACCCAGCGCAGGGGAAGGCCCAUCGUGCUGGAAACCGGGACAGUGAAAAACGAACUCAGCAGAAAGCUCACGCAGCCCAGUCUCAGAUUCCAGAAGACCUCCAGUUAAGGGAUCGCGUGCCGGAUUCCAGCUCCAGCAGCCAGGGAUUCAACCUGAAGAGAUGGAUGGUGUUGGCGAUGAUGAUGUAGCCUCUGACUCUUACUACGGAACUACAUGUUUAUUUCAAGCUUCAGGUUCUCUUUUAUACUUUGACAAAAGCAUUAGGUCAGAGGUUUGACAUUUUUAGUUUCCCCCACCCACAUUUACUGUACUUAACUUGUGAUUACAUUGUAACUCAUGCUACA